GCCAGCAGGGAUAGCACGUUGAAUACACCAGUUCCAAAUGGUUCACCGAAGUUAAGCUACGUUGACCAAGGUUGGUAUCCGGAUGGGUGAACACCUGGGCAAUCGCGUGUAGUCA
rfam:Asian citrus Psyllid, Diaphorina citri - Florida Strain, whole genome shotgun sequence.